rnacentral:rRNA from 1 species
CAUGCAAGUCGAACGGGAUCCAGGCAGCUUGCUGCCUGGUGAGAGUGGCGAACGGGUGAGUAAUGCGUGACCGACCUGCCCCAUGCACCGGAAUAGCUCCUGGAAACGGGUGGUAAUGCCGGAUGCUCCAUCACACCGCAUGGUGUGUUGGGAAAGCCUUUGCGGCAUGGGAUGGGGUCGCGUCCUAUCAGCUUGAUGGCGGGGUAACGGCCCACCAUGGCUUCGACGGGUAGCCGGCCUGAGAGGGCGACCGGCCACAUUGGGACUGAGAUACGGCCCAGACUCCUACGGGAGGCAGCAGUGGGGAAUAUUGCACAAUGGGCGCAAGCCUGAUGCAGCGACGCCGCGUGAGGGAUGGAGGCCUUCGGGUUGUAAACCUCUUUUGUUAGGGAGCAAGGCAUUUUGUGUUGAGUGUACCUUUCGAAUAAGCACCGGCUAACUACGUGCCAGCAGCCGCGGUAAUACGUAGGGUGCAAGCGUUAUCCGGAAUUAUUGGGCGUAAAGGGCUCGUAGGCGGUUCGUCGCGUCCGGUGUGAAAGUCCAUCGCUUAACGGUGGAUCCGCGCCGGGUACGGGCGGGCUUGAGUGCGGUAGGGGAGACUGGAAUUCCCGGUGUAACGGUGGAAUGUGUAGAUAUCGGGAAGAACACCAAUGGCGAAGGCAGGUCUCUGGGCCGUUACUGACGCUGAGGAGCGAAAGCGUGGGGAGCGAACAGGAUUAGAUACCCUGGUAGUCCACGCCGUAAACGGUG